AGAGCUUGAUCAUGGCUCAGAUUGAACGCUGGCGGCAGGCCUAACACAUGCAAGUCGAGCGGAUGAAGGGAGCUUGCUCCUGGAUUCAGCGGCGGACGGGUGAGUAAUGCCUAGGAAUCUGCCUGGUAGUGGGGGAUAACGUCCGGAAACGGGCGCUAAUACCGCAUACGUCCUGAGGGAGAAAGUGGGGGAUCUUCGGACCUCACGCUAUCAGAUGAGCCUAGGUCGGAUUAGCUAGUUGGUGGGGUAAAGGCCUACCAAGGCGACGAUCCGUAACUGGUCUGAGAGGAUGAUCAGUCACACUGGAACUGAGACACGGUCCAGACUCCUACGGGAGGCAGCAGUGGGGAAUAUUGGACAAUGGGCGAAAGCCUGAUCCAGCCAUGCCGCGUGUGUGAAGAAGGUCUUCGGAUUGUAAAGCACUUUAAGUUGGGAGGAAGGGCAGUAAGUUAAUACCUUGCUGUUUUGACGUUACCAACAGAAUAAGCACCGGCUAACUUCGUGCCAGCAGCCGCGGUAAUACGAAGGGUGCAAGCGUUAAUCGGAAUUACUGGGCGUAAAGCGCGCGUAGGUGGUUCAGCAAGUUGGAUGUGAAAUCCCCGGGCUCAACCUGGGAACUGCAUCCAAAACUACUGAGCUAGAGUACGGUAGAGGGUGGUGGAAUUUCCUGUGUAGCGGUGAAAUGCGUAGAUAUAGGAAGGAACACCAGUGGCGAAGGCGACCACCUGGACUGAUACUGACACUGUGGUGCGAAAGCGUGGGGAGCAAACAGGAUUGGAUACCCUGGUAGUCCACGCCGUAAACGAUGUCGACUAGCCGUUGGGAUCCUUGAGAUCUUAGUGGCGCAGCUAACGCGAUAAGUCGACCGCCUGGGGAGUACGGCCGCAAGGUUAAAACUCAAAUGAAUUGACGGGGGCCCGCACAAGCGGUGGAGCAUGUGGUUUAAUUCGAAGCAACGCGAAGAACCUUACCUGGCCUUGACAUGCUGAGAACUUUCCAGAGAUGGAUUGGUGCCUUCGGGAACUCAGACACAGGUGCUGCAUGGCUGUCGUCAGCUCGUGUCGUGAGAUGUUGGGUUAAGUCCCGUAACGAGCGCAACCCUUGUCCUUAGUUACCAGCACCUCGGGUGGGCACUCUAAGGAGACUGCCGGUGACAAACCGGAGGAAGGUGGGGAUGACGUCAAGUCAUCAUGGCCCUUACGGCCAGGGCUACACACGUGCUACAAUGGUCGGUACAAAGGGUUGCCAAGCCGCGAGGUGGAGCUAAUCCCAUAAAACCGAUCGUAGUCCGGAUCGCAGUCUGCAACUCGACUGCGUGAAGUCGGAAUCGCUAGUAAUCGUGAAUCAGAAUGUCACGGUGAAUACGUUCCCGGGCCCUGUACACACCGCCCGUCACACCAUGGGAGUGGGUUGCUCCAGAAGUAGCUAGUCUAACCGCAAGGGGGACGGUUACCACGGAGUGAUUCAUGACUGGGGUGAAGUCGAAACAAGGUA
rnacentral:rRNA from 1 species